rnacentral:rRNA from 1 species
UACGAAGGGUGCAAGCGUUAAUCGGAAUUACUGGGCGUAAAGGGUGCGUAGGCGGUUGUUUAAGUCUGUCGUGAAAUCCCCGGGCUCAACCUGGGAAUGGCGAUGGAUACUGGGCAGCUAGAGUGUGUCAGAGGAUGGUGGAAUUCCCGGUGUAGCGGUGAAAUGCGUAGAGAUCGGGAGGAACAUCAGUGGCGAAGGCGGCCCGCUGGGCAGUGGCUGACGCUGAAGCGCGACAGCGUGGGGAGCAAACAGG